AACAAGGAAGAGUUUAUGAAAUUCGGGUAUGAGGGACGGUGUUGGACUACAGCUCCCGGCAUGCUAUGCGGGCGGACUGCAGCUCCCGGCAUGCGCUGCGGCCGUACCAUAGCGCCCAGCAUGCCCCGCGAUUGCAAGAUGGCGGCGCCCAGGGGCGUCUCGGGCCCGGACAGCGACACCGGCUCGGGCUCGGACUCGGACUCGGAGAGCGGCGGCGAAGCGGCCGCGCGGUUCCGGGAGGCUGCCUGGGACUGCACCGCGCUGGCGGCGGCGCAGGCAGAGCCGUGCGGCGGGGGCUUUAGAAAGGAUCGGUUGCAGCCUAAAGAUCAGCCAAGCUUGAGGCGUGAGGCAAUCGGCCGUGAGGAGGGUGACAAUGAGCUCCAGACAACUCCAGAGUUCAGAGCACACGUUGCAAAGAAACUGGGAACCAUGCUAGACAGUGUCAUCACUGUCUUGAAGGAUCCAUCAGGACCAUCACAGACUUGGUUGGCACAGUCAGACUCUGAAGAUGAUGGUUUUCGCCUCUUUUCUUCCUCUGUCCCUGGAGACUGUGGGAAACCAGAGCCUUGCCCUGCAGCGAGGAGGAGGAGGCCAGUUAGCUCCAGUGACACAGACAGUGAGCAAGAGUGGCAAAGGUGCCAGGAGGCUGCCAUGUCAGCUGCAGAUAUUCUGAAGCAAAGUGCUUUCCCUGUAUGGUCCCAGGGCUCCAGCCAGGAUCAGAGUGAGAGUUAUGUAGAACCCAACCAGAAAAAGAAGAAGAAGAAGAAGAAAAUGAGGACAGACAAUAAUAUUCAAGAGAAAAUAAUAGACCCAGCAGAGUGUGACCAGAUCUGCAAAGAUUUGCCUCGGUUGGUGUCUGCAAAUGGCCAGCAGGAGAGACAGAACAGCCAUCACAGAGAGAACUCUGUGCUGCCAGGAGCUGUGAAGAAGAAAAAGAAGAAGAAAAAAGAAUGAUGAUUUUGCUCUGCAAACAGCAGGUGGUUGUGAUGGGUGAAGGAAACUGAAAGAAAACCUAACAACAAGAGUUGCUGCAGAUGAGGGAAAAUUAAUUGGCAAAGCAUCUGUUCUAAAAGCUCAGUGGCCUGAGAGACUAAUUAAGUGACUUCCUGUGCUACUGGCGUCCCUGAGGAAGGGAACAUUGUUCUCACACAGCAGUUGGCUGUGCUGCUGCUUGUGCAGGCCCCAUCUAAAAGGAUUAAAUACUGUGCCAGACUUGAAUGGCAGAGGGAUGUGAUCAUAGCUGCAUUCCUCCUGGUCUGUUCCUUCACAUCAUGAAACCCUUCUGGAGAAAGUGUAUGAUGAAUUGAAUUUGGUUUACAUGGCAACAGAUGAAAAGCUGUAAGGAGUCUUUAGUAAGAAUAAGCACCAAGAGGUUAAACAGUGGGACAAACCACCUUGAUAUCAGUUUUAGAAUACUGACAUAGAAGAUUCUCAGGACCUCGUGAAAGACUUAUUUUUUUCACCAAGAGACCAGAAAGCCAGCAAAGUGGGAGAAGCCUUCAUUUCCCUGAGGUGGGUUCUGAAUUGCUGCUUUGGACCAGACCCUGCUCAAGCAGAGGUUCAGAGCUGGGAAGUGCUCAGGACCAUCCCCAGCCCUUUCCUCUGGAGCUGCUCCACAACUCAGUGCCCAGCCUGGAGCCAGGCUGGGCAGAGGGAAGAUCUGGUCUGUGCCCAGAGCACCACGUCCCCUCCCUGCAGGGCGUUAACAAAGCUCUAAUGGAUACUGACGACUUUGUGUGCCUAAAACGAAUGAGAAUUCCGACCCAUGUGAAACCAUUUAUUUGAAGAAAUGUUCAUGUGAACAUUAAUGUAAAGACAACUUCAGCUUCUAAGGAUUUUUUUUUUUUUGGGUCAUACUCAAUAAAGAGUUGUGCUGGUUUUGCACCCAUCACAAGAGUAUUUAAAGAAUGCUGAGCGUAUUUGGCAUUGUACUGUCAGUGUGUUGAUGCAAUUUCCAUGUAUUUUAUUUGUUAUUACAGUUUUCCUUCAUUCCUGCCCCUCAGGUAGACAUGACAACAUUACCAGCUGAUAACAGUAAUUUUAAAUUGUAAUUACAGUAUCCAACCAUGACAUACAGUUUCUGCAUGAUAUGUCCUUACAAUUCAAGGAUUUUGCAAACAGACACAGCAGAUUGUGGAGUUCUUGCAAUAUGUGACAGAGGAGAUGCUGUCAUUCUGUGUUACUUAUUUCUGCCUCUCUGUGGCAUGGUGAUCUCUUUUACAUAAACCAAGGUGGAAAAUAUUACCACUGUUCUUAAAAUUGGCCAUAUUGUGUUGGUGUAUAAAACCUAUUGAAUGUCUGAGGGGUGAUGGGGAACACAGAUCAUUAAUUUUAAAUAAAGAACAGCAAUAUUUGUCAAUAGAAGCUGUAAAGAGAAGAAAGCAUAGCAAGAAAUUAGGUCUAUAUUAUGUGGUUUCAAGGAUUCCUUGUGCACCCAGAAGUCCUGAUGCUGCUGCUUCUGCUUGUCUUGAGUAACUUAAGCUCUAGAAGCUUUUUUUUGAGACCAGUGAACUUUGAAGUCUAUAAAACCAGAAAUGCACAUCUGUUUGUAUGAUGGGACCUCCCUGAAUGCUACAACUGGAUGCCAUGUGGACAACGCUUAGCUGAACAAGGAAACAUUUCAAAUACUGAAGAGGUGGUAAAUAUUCUGUAUCACUUUAUCCUGAAAGGAUUUUUCUCUUGGUCUAUUGGGAUUGUCCAUUUUAAACUGUAGGACAAUUAGCAAAAAACCAAAUAAACUUACCCACUUUCAUUUUUCCAUUCAUUGGAACCUGCCAGGCUGUGCCAGUGAAUGGCUCUGCCCCACUGUUUCAGAUCCUCAAUGCAGGAAAACCAGUGAGCUUUUCAGUGUUUCUUAAAUGGCAGAAAUAGCUAGGGGUCAGACUGAAAGGGAUUCCUGUUGUGAAUUAGCCAGCAUCCCUAUUUUAUAGCCUGGCACUAAAGAUUGCAAUAUCAUAUUUCUCAGAUUAUUACAAGUGCAGUUUUGAGUUGAUGAGAGAAUGGCAGAGGUCAAGGGUGGAAACUAGAUUAUAGUUCUGUUGGAGGAGGAGCUCAGUUGCAGAGUGCCAUAAUCAAUGUUCUCCUGAAACGGAAUUGUACUCAGGGAUUAUGCCUUGAGGAUGAAUAUUUGAAAUAAGGGGACUUGUGUUUCCUAUACCCAUUUUUAUCUAUUAUCAGUGCUUACUCUAUGUUGAUUUCCUUAAUUGUAACCACUUCCUAGGUCAUGACUUGAUUCUCAGGUCACUCUGAUUAAUAUUAUCUCGGUCCUUGUAACAGGGGAAACUUAAAGUUUGAAGACACCAAGAGAUACCUGCUUGUUUUUCUCAUGUUUACAGUAUUUGCUUUUGUAUUAACUGUUCCAAAGUAAUCUCUUCUUCUCCCCUGUAUCUAAUAAAGUGAGUGAAUUACUUAACACUGAAAA